AAGCGAUGUCAGCAUUGCUGCUCUAGUCAAGUUCCUUGGAAAAGGACAGCAUGGAGGGUUAUACUCCCGUCAUUGCUGGAGCAUGCUGUGUGUACGACACGUUUUCUUUGAGUCGCGUUGUUUGGGAAUGCAGCGCAAAGUAGGUGGUAAAUUCCAUCUAAAGCUAAAUAUAAGUGCGAGACCGAUAGCGAACAAGUACCGUGAGGGAAAGAUGAAAAGAACUUUGAAAAGAGAGUUAAAGAGUACCUGAAACUGCUGAAAGGGAAGCGAAUCGUAUCCAGUGUCUAUAAUCCGCAACAUAUUACAAUGAUGUGUCUUUGCUUUCCGCGUGUAGGUAGUAGCCUUGGUUGCACCUUGCGUGGAUUGGUUGAGACAUAUCGUUGCCCUGUGUUGUGGUGGGACGUCAAAGUCAGUUUGUAC
rnacentral:rRNA from 1 species